rnacentral:rRNA from 1 species
CAGUGAGGCCUUCGGACUGGCCCAGGGAGGUCGGCAACGACCACCCAGGGCCGGAAAGUUGGUCAAACUCGGUCAUUUAGAGGAAGUAAAAGUCGUAACAAGGUCUCCGUAGGUGAACCUGCGGAGGGAUCAUUA